GUACAAUCGUCAAACGUCGAAAGAGCACAAUGGCGUCCACCAGCAAUACCGACCGAAGGCCUUAAGCACCUGGCAGUUGUAUUUAAAAUAAUCGAGUGUUCUUUCAUAACCAUAAAUCGAAACGAUCUACUGUGUCCAUCCUGCUACGACCGUGUUUUACUUUAUCAGAAUACUUGAAGCAUGAGGCCACCACAAGUGCAUACCGAUCCACUAUGUAACCAUGGAAGCAAUACGAAACUACAGUUUGUGUAGCCAAGAGGAGAGAAGAGGUUAUAAUUUACACGGAGAAAGGGCGAGUAGCGACAGCAUUAGUAGCUAAGUGGGUCCUACGUUAUCCUAUCCCCGUGUGUUAUGCUGGUACCUCGCAAGCAAACGGAGCCUCCAGGCGAUUCCUAUCUGCCGCUGCCACCCGACACACAGAACACUGAGAACCACCCAGAUUACGAUCUCUCGCCGAGCUACGAACGCGCCUUAACCCAUGUAUCUGCGCUCUGGCACAUUACGCACGCCACCGUCAAACGCAAGCGGGACAUUACCAUUUUAUGGGAAUAGUCCAAAGUGGACGAACUUCUCUCUGCCACUAGGACCUUCAUAACAAUCAUCCUGACUGAUGGGAACGGUAGACCUUACCUAUGUGCUAUGAGAAAUAUGGCUUCUCUUACCUUACCAGUCUACUCGAAUUAAUUAGGCCGGGAAUGGCUGCGCGACGACCAAGCCACCAUUUUAUCUUGAAUUCCUGCGGGAUCUGGUGCCGCUGCUUCCCGGAGAGGAGCAGCUAGUCGUAAAGCAGAUAAGUUGCCGCCUACCGACGAGGAUUCUCUAUAUAGUAACACUACCGAAACGGCUUCAGGACUUUGUGCGGCAGCUGCGACGACCGUUGCGGGCUGAUAUGGCCGAAAGUUAGUCAGGAUGUUAGGACGACAGGAAAGGAUAAAUCCUGAUAGAUUGGAUCGUGAUCUUGAGUUUCCGUCGACGAUCAAGAAAAAUUCAUUGACGACGAUUCUUUUUAAUGGAAAUCUCUUGUAGUUCUCAGGACGCAGGUUUAUAUUAGUUUUCGGUAUUCGUAACUGCAAGGACAAUGUAUAUAGAUAUACAUACGAUACAGUAUAUUAUUUACGACUUGACGCAGCAAUCUGAAGAAUUUUAUGACGUGCAAUGAGUAUCAGAGAACUGAACCUGAUUAUGGAACCACUGGUCUGCCAUAUUGGAGAACGUGCGGCUCGCCUAAUUGGAACACUCGUGAGGGUCUACGACGCAACGCGAAUUCCACGACGUAAUUACCGGAUAAUUACGAGCUCUUGCUGAAGCCUUUGGCAAUGUAAUACAAGCAUAUCAAGUUUGGCCCGUGACAACCCCAUGUCUUCUAUUAUGGAGUUCAUCGACUAACCGUAUAACUUGAACCACGUGAUAGCUGGUUGAACGUUCCGGAUGAUUUCCUGAUAAAAAAUGAGGGGCAAUUUGUCCGGCGAAGGCUGAGCAUAAUAAUGCAAUUACACUUUAUAUGCGACCGACGUAAUCCCAUUAGCAGGCAAUAUUUUAAUCUUAAAUUGGAGUUGAUCAUCUUGUAAUUCAGAAUGAGCUAAAGACGCUCCUGAAUUUCAUUUUUUUAAUAUUUCAUAUUUCACUCUUGCCUCAAGCUCUCUCAAGGUGUUGAUCGUCAUGAGAUCUCAUACUAGGAUAUAAUUAUUCUGCUUCAUCAAAUGGAUCCUCGGAAAAAAAGGUACCCACGAACACCACUCAAUUCAGAUAAUGGAAUGACUUGAUCGUACCACCACUACACUACUAUCACCAUCACAAUCAAGAUCCAUCCCAGCAUCACUGGCAUCCACGAGCCUGACUCUCCUCGCAUACUACACAGCAUCCUCAAGGUCUUCACUCUGUGGAAUAAAUAGGCGGUCCAGGGUGCGUCAUCGAAUCCCAACCAUCUAACAGUAUAUCGAUUCACUUGAAACACUUGGGAUAUUGUCAAGUCAAAAGUAUACCACUACAGUAAUCUUAUUCAAAAUGAUUGUCAGCCAUCUGCACUGAGUUAUCGUCCUGGACCACGAUGUGCUCUUUCAUACUCUUUGACUAUUGAAGCAUGAAAUAUAUUGAAAACACAGCAAGUGAAGAUUUAGACUUUAGUUCUUUCGUCUUCUAUAUCACAAGGAAAUGGUGACUUUAUAGCAGACAGUGAAACCGACAUGGAGGAUUAGAUAAAAGACCUGAAUAAACCCUGGACUGUCUGAACUCCAUCCAAGACAAGACAUCCGACAGGCUACUCGCAAGCCGUAUCCAUGGCAAAAAGAAGAAGCAGAAGAAAACGGCAUCAUCAUAACAAACAAGAGUGUGAGGAAAGAGAAAGGCGGUACGAGAAGAGUCUGGAUGUUCCUGAGGGACACCCUGGAACCUGAUGGCUACGUUACAAGGAACGACAACGACUAGGAGAGACAGCGGAAUGGACCCGAUGAGGAUGCUGCGGAUGAAGUAAAAGUUACACACAGGAUCCAAGUGUGGAGUAUGGUGCUGAGAGAGGAGAGUUUUAAAAAGCGCGGCGUGGCGAUGGCGGACGGCUCGAUCUAACCCGACUUAACUACAUAACUACAUCUUUCUUUUACGUUCCUCGAGGGGCCCUCGGGCCCCUUCUAUCUUUCCUUUUCUUCUAUACUCCUGCUGCCUCUCGUCCUUCUUCUACUUCUAUAGGUCUCCUUCUCCCUCUUCUUCUUCUUCUUCUUCUUCUUCCUUACUCCCCAUUUUGUCUCCCUCUUUCCCCACUUACUCUUCUAUCCACUUUUCUCUCUUUCAUUCCAACCAUCUUUCUCUAACACUGCAGGCUGACUGGCUGACUGGCUUUCCGUUAUAGCGAUCCGCCAGAACCGCGCCGCUAGCGGCAUGGAAAAAAGGCGGCCCUAAAAGAACUUCAUAUUUUUUAUGCUCUGACAGCGACUUGGGUGGUCCAAAAUGGCCGCCAAUGAUAUAAUAUAGUGCUCUACCCAAGAGCCGAACGUCGCGAGCUACGAAGAGGCUCACGUGCGUGUACACGUAUUACUCGUUCUCCUGGGAACCCAACUACUUCGUCAACUGAAAACAAUUCCUCCACUGACCAUUACAACCAGGUACUUCGUGACACGAGAUAAUUAAGGACAGUGGCAGACAAUUUCCUCAAAUUAUUUGGAAUUUUUUCUCCAACACUAGUUUCAAUGUCUUAUCGUUCUAAUCCACAAUGGCUACUGUAUAAGAUUAUCUUUGGUCAGUAUAAUCAAGGCGACUAAUUCCUCCCGUACCGAUGAGCUAAUUGCAGGACGCUUUAUGCUUUAUUGUAAGCAUAUAGGAAUGGCCGCUGGCGACCACCAUUAAUAGGAGUGAACAUAUUAAUCUGCGAUCUGCAUACCGCGUGCUCCUUAAUGAGAGAAAACGAAACUACCAUCGUACUUAUGAACGUCUCUAUAGCUACGUCAUUAGUCAUGUCAAGAGACCAGACCUGAUGCCUGUCUGUUCAAUAAGAAUUAUCGAAUAGCAACGUCCGGUUAUCAAUUCCCAUGAUGAUCGAAUAAGGUGAUUUUAAUAGAUUGGAGAUUCGACAUGACCGACAAGUCUACAGUGAUUAGCUGGUAUUAGAAUAUUGAUAGGUGAUAAAUGUACCGGAGAAGUAGGUAGGACGAUAAUGAGAUGCUCAUUAAUAAUACGGUUAUUAAUGCAUGACGCUUUGAAUUAAUUACUCGCAGCGUGCGUCGUUUAAUGUGGAUGAGUAUCUUGAGAGUAUGACUUUUCAUAUGGAGGCGUCGGGGACGUCAUGGCGUCCUUACAAUACGAUCCGGAUGGCGUGAACGCCGUAGCGAAUUGCAAGCUGUACUUUCGCAUUUCGUCACAGGUACAAUGCCAAAGGCCAAUGUCCAUCCAUUCAGGUACGUCAUUCGGGUAAUCCUAAUUAUCCUGAAGAUAGCCGAGACGAGGACGAGCAGGUAGAGCAAGUAAUUAUCUUCGUUCCGGGAAAGUCAAAAGAGAAGCGGCUAACUUCAAUAUUGUGACGUCGCGUUAGUUCCAGCCGCGAAGGAUGUUACGGAAGCAACCUCGGCUGGAUAAUGACAGAGCGCUGCUACCGAUCGUUUCUGAAGGAGAAAUCUGCAGCUCGUGCUGUCGGUCCGAACUUCUUUGAAAAUGGAGUGAAGAGGGCUGCGUCGAGGAAUAUGAAGAAGAAAAAUAAAAGUGGGUUGCCCUGAAAAAAAGAUUUUACGAUUUGGCCCGUAAUAUGUAGUCGUCCAAGAAUCCUGGUAUAUGGAAACCAAUUCCAGUUGGGUAAAGGGCAAUCGUUAACCAACGUUUACGGAAUUCUAAACCCUGAGCAAAAAUGACGUAGCAUACAUUACCCGUUGGUAAUAAUAAACCUGACUGUGAAGCCCCAGGCUUUUCUUAAGUAGCCUAAACGACGGAAAUCGUUCCUCUCGUAUCCACCAUCUUCAUCAAGUUAAUACACUGCAGAUAAGAGAACAUUUUCGACACCCGAGAUCUUAUAUCUUCAUGUAAGGGUACGAUCCUCUGUGUAUAAUUUUGUCAUUACCCCCACUUUUGCCAGGCUGCUGCCACCCCAGGCUUCGAUGAUGAUGAUUCCGAUGAUGAUAGUUCGCUCGUUAUUACGCUUCGGACGGCCAAAGACGUUCUCUUCGUGUUUAGAGCUGGAAGCGAUUGGCCGACGCCAUUACUCACACCGUUUGCGCCUGCCACAUGGCUCCGACGUCUUUUCUCUUCUUUCAAUUCUCUUCAUCUUCUUUUACUCCUUACAUCUUAUCCUUCAGCAUCCACUGCUAUCUUUGCAGCCCAUCCCCUCUUCGUCUAUCAUAUAUUCUUAUCCUUCUUCUUCUCCUCCUCCUCUCCCUCUCUCUCUUUCAACCAGCAAAUCUGACGACUGUAUAGAACGGCGCUCAUCUUCAAGACUAUUUUAUUCGGUGCCCCAUUCAAUUAUCCUAAGAGCGUUCAGCAAAUUACUUUUAUACCUUGAAACAGCAGCCAGGCGCAAUCGUUUUCCAAUGCUAAGAACUUUCGACCUAUCUAUAACCGCGAAAUAGCUUUGAUAGAACCUUCUUAUGUACUACACUGAUAUAACAACUUGAUUGGAAUAAUCUCUUGACCUAUGACACUGAAAGGCUUUGAUCUUUACCGUCUAUCACUUGUAUACACCUAGGACAAUGAUCGUUGUGGGAGAAAAAAUAUACGUAGAACGGAUCUUAAGGUAAAAUUAACUUCCAUAUACCAUGAGGAUGUAGAAGGAAUGUGCAAUGAAAUUAUCCAGAGCGGAAAUCAUUAAUAAAGUCCAAGAUCCACCU